UUCAGAGUUAACAAGUACAAAAUCAAGCACUUCUGGGAUGACCACUUCAGUGAAAGAAAUAGGUCCGACGACAGAUAUGGAUUUUCGGAAUACAGCAGCGACAUCAUCUUUUCGUCUGAAGAUGCUUUUGUGCUGUGGUUCUUUUCUUCUUAAUUACAUGCUGUGUUAUUAUCAUGAACAUUGAAAAAAUCUACAACGUUAAUGGCAAUGAAUAAUUUGAAAUCAUACAAGUUCUUCCUCUUUGUGGUCGUUGAAUAAAUUGAUUAAUAAAAUCUCG